rnacentral:rRNA from 1 species
UACGAAGGGUGCAAGCGUUACUCGGAAUUACUGGGCGUAAAGCGUGCGUAGGUGGUUUGUUAAGUCUGUUGUGAAAGCCCCGGGCUCAACCUGGGAAUGGCAAUGGAUACUGGCAAGCUAGAGUGCGGUAGAGGGUGGUGGAAUUUCCUGUGUAGCGGUGAAAUGCGUAGAUAUGCGGAGGAACACCGAUGGCGAAGGCAAUCCCCUGGGCCUGCACUGACGCUCAUGCACGAAAGCGUGGGGAGCAAACAGG